GUGAAUUGUGACAGAAGCAGGAGCAACGUGACCCUGGGUUGAAGAGGGAAAAGUGACGACUUAUCUGAGAAGUGAGAAAGAUAUGCCUGGACUGAAACCUUUGGUAGGAGACAGAUGCGGCAGGCACUGUGAAUAGGAGGAUAAGACACUGGUGUGAGCUGGAGUGGAGCAGGAAUCAGCAUUUGCCUUUUGGCUCAAUUUAGGUGACAAACCCUUUGGGCCGGGAAGUCUGCGAGUGGAUGUGUGCACAUGUG